UCCGUAGGUGAACCUGCGGAAGGAUCAUUACCUAGAGUUGCGGGCUUUGCCUGCCAUCUCUUACCCAUGUCUUUUGAGUACCUUCGUUUCCUCGGUGGGUUCGCCCGCCGAUUGGACAACACUUAAACCCUUUGUAAUUGAAAUCAGCGUCUGAAAAAACUUAAUAGUUACAACUUUCAACAACGGAUCUCUUGGUUCUGGCAUCGAUGAAGAACGCAGCGAAAUGCGAUAAGUAGUGUGAAUUGCAGAAUUCAGUGAAUCAUCGAAUCUUUGAACGCACAUUGCGCCCCUUGGUAUUCCAUGGGGCAUGCCUGUUCGAGCGUCAUUUGUACUCUCAAGCCUAGCUUGGUGUUGGGUGUUUUGUCUUCGCUAUGCUUAGACUCGCCUCAAAACAAUUGGCAGCCGGCGUAUUGAUUUCGGAGCGCAGUACAUCUCGCGCUUUGCACUCAUAACGACGACGUCCAAAAGUACAUUUUUACACUCUUGACCUCGGAUCAGGUAGGGAUACCCGCUGAACUUAA
rnacentral:rRNA from 1 species